GACACGGCGGCAGGCGGGACGGGGACGAGGGCCGCGGAGAUGUCGGUGCUGGCGUCGAUGGCGGUGGCGUCGAUGGCGCAGACCCAGGCCUCCAGCAUCCCUAGGCCCCUGCUUCAUGCCCAGCAAUUCCUCCCAAUAAUCAGAGUUACUGGCUGCUGCUGCUGACACAGGCCUGGACCACCACGGGACACCACAUUACCAGGCCCACCACAGGUGUUGCCCUGCACAAACCUGGGAGACACAGCACCCUGAUCCCUCACCUGGUCAUGUCCUGUUGCUCCUGCUGGACCUGCUCAGCCAGAAACCACUGGCCAGAGUUGUCCCCACCGAUGGCAUCUCCUCGCCAGGCAGCACGAGGUGGAGAUGGUGCUGGGGCAGGAGCCAGCUGCAAAGCAGAAGAUUAAUUAAGAGGCUGUGCCACUGCCUCGCUGUGAUCUCAGUAACUGAACCGUUAAAGUGAUUUGUUCUUCGCAGGGUAAUUACAUUCCCCCUCUCUCUGUUAUCCAUCCCCUGAUCUGUGCUGCACCCAGUCAGGAGCAGGCCUGUGGUCCCUGAGUCCAUGUGUCAGAGGGGAGAUGGCCUGGCUGCCCCUUCUGCUUCCUGUGCCUCAGCAUUACAGCUUCUGUAGCACACAGAAACAUGCUGUUUGUGUGGACUGUGUGCUGUUUGUGUGGAUUCAACGCUUCCAGACCCUCACACAGCUCUGGGAUCUACCCAGGAGCCACUAUGGCUGGACAGAGCAGUGCUGCUACAUCACUGAUUUUGACUGAGAGUCCAACUUGGCUUUGUAUCGUGUUAUCAAUACCUGUUUCUUCUG